UACGAAGGGGGCUAGCGUUGCUCGGAAUCACUGGGCGUAAAGGGUGCGUAGGCGGGUCUUUAAGUCAGGGGUGAAAGCCUGGAGCUCAACUCCAGAACUGCCUUUGAUACUGGAAGUCUUGAGUUCGGGAGAGGUGAGUGGAACUGCGAGUGUAGAGGUGAAAUUCGUAGAUAUUCGGAAGAACACCAGUGGCGAAGGCGACUUACUGGACGACCGUUGACGCUGAGGUGCGAAAGCGUGGGGAGCAAACAGG
rnacentral:rRNA from 1 species